rnacentral:rRNA from 1 species
GACGAACGCUGGCGGCAUGCCUAAUACAUGCAAGUCGAGCGAAUGAUGAAGAAGCUUGCUUCUUCUGAUUUAGCGGCGGACGGGUGAGUAACACGUGGGCAACCUGCCCUGUAGAUUGGGAUAACUCCGGGAAACCGGGGCUAAUACCGAAUAAUCCAUUUCCUCUCAUGGGGGAGAUGUUAAAAGACGGUUUCGGCUGUCACUACAGGGAUGGGGCCCGCGGCGCAUUAGCUAGUUGGUGAGGUAACGGCUCACCAAGGCGACGAUGCGUAGCCGACCUGAGAGGGUGAUCGGCCACACUGGGACUGAGACACGGCCCAGACUCCUACGGGUGGCUG